AUGGUGGUUGCUAUUUGCUACCCCUAUAUACUUUUGAAAUGGCACGAAUUGAUCUUGCUGAACUUGACACCCUUGAAGUCGUGGGUCACAUGGUGUCCUAACGUCAGGAUUUUCAGAGACACGGUCGUUCUUGUGAUUAUUUCUUACCUGCUAUUGCUGGACAUCAAUUCGAGCUUCGUCUCACUUGCCAUCUUUCCCAUCAUGGCCAUUACUUUCAUAGGAGCACUGUACUUUAAGCUCAAUCGUUGUACUGGCGACAUUGGUCGUAAAGUUACUCCACAAUCUUCUAUGGUCGAUGAGAAUACCAUCAAGACACCUAUGGAGCUGGAGAUCAUAGUGGUGGUGACGUUCGGGGCGCUGUUGGUGAUGGAUCAACUUGACGAUGGUGCAGAUACGGGCUUCGCCUUCACACAGUUUCUCCUGUUCCUGAGCUCCAUUGUGGCGGCAUUGACGCGCAUGAUGAUGAAGCUGCCUCCUGGUCCUUUUCCGGGUAGUGCACCGGCAUCAGAGUUGCUCCGCAAGACCUUGCUUAUACUUCUACUAGUGACGGCACACACAUUGGCCGCGGAGUGGCUGGGCGAGGAUGUGGUUGUGUUCUGCAUGCCGGAGGUUAUCCCGGUGCUCCUCUGGUACAGCCUUCACCUCGUCCGCCCACACCAGAACCCAAUCAUCAGCGUUGACAAAAUGAAGCCACACAUGAAGGGGCUCAUUGCCCUAUCUACACUGGUCGUAUUUCCUCUUUUCGCAUACAUGGUGAACUCCAUGGAUGUUUCUGGGCUCUCCUGGUGCACGAGGAUCAUGGUGUCAUGUGGCGUCUCAGG
rnacentral:rRNA from 1 species